rnacentral:lncRNA from 1 species
UAAAUAAUAAUUUAAAAGGGCAUUUGUGGAAUUCUGAAAAUAUUAGAGAACCCUAAUAUACCCUAUAUAUUGUUUCAUUAGUUAGUGAGAGAAAGAAACCAAUCAUCAAUGCUCAGCGGCACCUACCACAAGCCAUCUCUCUCGGGUUUUUUAAGAUAAAAAAAAUUAGAAAAAGCUAACAAAGAAACAAGAGAAUUUUCGUUCUUUU